CCCCACUCCUUCAUCACCCAGGGUUCCCCAGACCUGUUGGUGACUGUGAGUGCCAGUGGGCUGCUGGGCACCCACAGCUGGUUGCCCUAUGACCGCAACAUAAGCAACUACUUCAGCUUCAGCAAAGACCCCACCAUGGGCAGCCACAAGUAGGACAGAGGGCUGUGGGUGGGGUGGGCUACAAAUGCCCUGCACCCGGAAUUAUUCCCCUCCCUAAUCAGAAUGUAGGCCAGCUGCAGGGGAAAGGUCUGGCCAGGCUCCCUGAGGGCCUGGGUCUCUUCCAUGUGGCCUGGCCUCACUUGCUAUCCCCCUCACUGGGUCAGGACGCAGCGACUGCUGAGUGGCCCGUGGGUGCCAGGCAGUGGUGUGAGUGGACAAGCACUGGCAGUGGCCCCGGAUGGAAAGCUGCUAUUCAGCGGUGGCCACUGGGAUGGCAGCCUGCGGGUGACUGCACUACCCCGUGGCAAGCUGUUGAGCCAGCUCAGCCGCCACCUUGAUGUAGUAACCUGCCUUGCACUGGACACCUGUGGCAUCUACCUCAUCUCAGGCUCCCGGGACACCACGUGCAUGGUGUGGCGGCUCCUGCAUCAGGUGUGCCUGGUGGGCAGCUCUGUGGGGCCCCCGUAGCCCAGACCUGCAGCCCAUCCGUCCCUCAGUGGCCUUCCAGUCCUGUCCUCCUGUAGUCUUGGACAAGGCCUUCGUUUCCUGAGCCUCAGGGGACAGUCCUAAGCCAACCCUGGUCCUCCACAGGGUGGUCUGUCAGUAGGCCUGGCACCAAAGCCUGU
rnacentral:sRNA from 1 species